rnacentral:tRNA from 1 species
GCGUUGGCUCAGUGGUUAGAGUUAAGGUCUCAUAACCGAAAGGUCGCGGGAUCGAAUCCCGCUAGAGGCU